rnacentral:rRNA from 1 species
CCUACGGGAGGCAGCAGUGGGGAAUAUUGCACAAUGGGGGAAACCCUGAUGCAGCGACGCAGCGUGCGGGAUGACGGCCUUCGGGUUGUAAACCGCUUUCAGCAGGGAAGAAGCGAAAGUGACGGUACCUGCAGAAGAAGGACCGGCCAACUACGUGCCAGCAGCCGCGGUAAU